CAAUAGCGUAUAUUAAAGUUGUUGCGGUUAAAAAGCUCGUAGUUGGAGUUCUGCCAGGUGCCGCCUGUCCGCCCCAGUGGUGAGUACGUGGCGCGCAUUUGGCCCUUUCAAGGGGAGCGUAUCUGCACUUUAUUGUGUGGUGCGGGAUCCUUGACUUUUACUUUGAGGAAAUAGGAGUGUUCCAAGCAGGCUCUCGUCGUGCACAGCUCAGCAUGGAAUAAUAGCAUUGGACCUCGAUUCUAAGCUGUUGGUUGCCAGAAGCGAGGUAAUGAUGAAGAGGGAUAGUUGGGGGCAUUCGUAUUUAACUGUCAGAGGUGAAAUUCUUGGAUUUGUUAAAGACGGACUGCUGCGAAAGCGUCUGCCAAGGAUGUUUUCAUUGA
rnacentral:rRNA from 1 species